rnacentral:rRNA from 1 species
UACGUAGGGUGCAAGCGUUAAUCGGAAUUACUGGGCGUAAAGCGUGCGCAGGCGGUUUUGUAAGUUUGUCGUGAAAUCCCCGGGCUCAACCUGGGAAUGGCGAUGAAGACUGCAAGGCUAGAAUCUGGCAGAGGGGGGUAGAAUUCCACGUGUAGCAGUGAAAAUGCGUAGAGAUGUGGAGGAACACCGAUGGCGAAGGCAGCCCCCUGGGUCAAGAUUGACGCUCAUGCAC